rnacentral:ncRNA from 2 species
ACCAGAGCCCGUGGUGAUUUGCUGACCGGCUUGCAGACCACGUUAAACAAGCUGCUAAAAGGUCGGGCCGUACAUAAG